UACGUAGGGGGCUAGCGUUGUCCGGAUUUAUUGGGCGUAAAGAGCGUGUAGGCGGCCAGGUAGGCCUGCUGUGAAAACUUGAGGCUCAACCUCGAGACGUCGGCGGAAACCAUCUGGCUAGAGUCCGGAAGAGGAGAGUGGAAUUCCUGGUGUAGCGGUGAAAUGCGCAGAUAUCAGGAAGAACACCCGUGGCGAAGGCGGCUCUCUGGGACGGUACUGACGCUGAGACGCGAAAGCGUGGGGAGCGAACAGG
rnacentral:rRNA from 1 species